CAGGUCAGGUGUCGCAGACUUAAUAGAGAAGUCCGGUGAAACUCCGGCGCGGUCCCGCCGCUGUAACGAGGAGCGAUGCUGCAAUAUGUCACUGUACCCCAUUGGGUAUGGGAAGGCGCAGCGGAGCGAUGAAUCUGAGCCAGAAGAACUGCCUGACUG
rnacentral:ncRNA from 1 species